rnacentral:rRNA from 1 species
GAUGAACGCUAGCUACAGGCUUAACACAUGCAAGUCGAGGGGCAGCAUGGACAUAGCUUGCUAUGUUUGAUGGCGACCAGCGCACGGGUGCGUAACACGUAUCCAAUCUGCCCGUUACUCGGGGAUAGCCUUCUGAAAGGAAGAUUAAUACCCGAUGGCAUGUAUUUCCGGCAUCGGAGAUACAUUAAAGAUUUAUCGGUAACGGUUGAGGAUGCGUACGAUUAGCUUGUUGGCGGGGUAACGGCCCACCAAGGCGACGAUCGCUAGGGGUUCUGAGAGGAAGGUCCCCCACCCUGGAACUGAGAAACGGUCCAGACUCCUACGGGAGGCAGCAGUGAGGAAUAUUGGUCAAUGGUCGGAAGACUGAACCAGCCAAGUAGCGUGAAGGGUGACUGCCCUACGGGUUGUAAACUUCUUUUGUUUGGGAAUAAAAGACGCUACGUGUAGCGUUCUGCAUGUACCUUACGAAUAAGCAUCGGCUAAUUCCGUGCCAGCCGCCGCGGUAAGAC